AGUAGCAGACGGGUGAGUAAUGCAUAGGUAAUCUACCCUUGAGUGGGGGAUAACUUACCGAAAGGUGGGCUAAUCCCGCAUAACAUUUUUUCAUAUUAAGUGAGAAUAUCAAAGAGGGGGACCCUUCGGGGCCUUUUGCUUGGGGAUGAGCUUAUGUCCUAUUAGUUAGUUGGUAAGGUAAAGGCUUACCAAGACGAUGAUGGGUAGCCGGAUUGAGAGGUUGAUCGGCCACACUGGAACUGAUACACGGUCCAGACUCCUACGGGAGGCAGCAGUGGGGAAUUUUGCGCAAUGGGCGAAAGCCUGACGCAGCGACGCCGCGUGAGGGAUGAAGGGCUUCGUGUUCGUAAACCUCUGUCAGGAAGCAUUAAAUGCAUAGUGGUUAAUACCCAUUAUGUUUGACUUAACUUCCAGAGGAAGCCCCGGCUAACUACGUGCCAGCAGCCGCGGUAAUACGUAGGGGGCAAGCGUUACUCGGAUUUACUGGGCGUAAAGCGAUUGUAGGCGGUAAUUUAAGUCAGUUGUGAAAAUCCCUCGGCUCAACCGAGGAACUGCAAUUGAAACUGGGGUUACUUGAGGACAGGAGAGGAAAGUGGAAUUACCGGUGUAGCGGUGGAAUGCGUAGAUAUCGGUAGGAACACCAGAGGCGAAGGCGACUUUCUGGACUGAUCCUGACGCUGAGAGUCGAAAGCUAGGGUAGCAAACAGGAUUAGAUACCC
rnacentral:rRNA from 1 species